rnacentral:rRNA from 1 species
CGUGUAGGCGGCUAGACAAGUCAGAUGUGAAAUCCCUGGGCUUAACCCAGGAAGUGCAUUUGAAACUGUCCUGCUAGAGUAAGGGAGAGGGAAGUGGAAUUCCUGGUGUAGAGGUGAAAUUCGUAGAUAUCAGGAGGAACACCGGUGGCGAAGGCGACUUUCUGGCCCUAUACUGACGCUGAGACGCGAAAGCGUGGGUAGCAAACA